GAGCUGCGUGUGCCGCGCCUUAAAGAUGGCGCUGGUUUCCGCCUUCCGCCAUCCCGACGGCGAGAGCUCUUUAUGAUAAACAACUCCUUAUUUGGCUGUGAUGUGUCUGAUGCUCUGCCCCCUCUUACGUGUACCUAUCCGCAUUCACCACAUGACUAUCCGUGAUUGGUUGGUUCAGGGGUACUUAUUCUAGGGACGGGUGCUCCCCAGGGGUAGAAGAAAAAGAAUGUUAAGUUUUCCUGAAUAAACUGCUAGAAGAAGAGCGUUGGUGUUGCGUCGUCAUUGCUGGUCAAAGGCGAACGCGACACCAUAUGGCCGUCUUCUGAGUCACCCAGACUCUGCUGUCGCCGCAGUGGCAGCCAGCAUCUCUCAGCAUCUCUGGGCUGUUUUCGCCACGCAGCAGAAAUAGAACAGAUCUGAGGGAAUACAGAGGGGUGGAAGGCCAGGAACUGGGAGAGAAGAAAGUAUGGACCAAUACCAUCACCACGGACAAAACUGAAGAUGUCAACCUAGAGGAGAAUGACAGUCUCCCGACUGUCUGCGAGAGGUGUGGCCAAGGGGAUGGUGCACUGGUUCUGGAGUCAGAUGGCCAAGCACAGACGUCGAGGCCUCCACUUACCACCGCCAGCCUCAGUCUCCUCCGCGGUCAGACAGACAUCAGAACACCCGCCACAGCGCGUUAUCUCAAGCACCAGAUAAGACACCUGUGUGAAAAGCACUGCGAGCAGCGGCUGGCGCAUACUUGGGCUCAAGUUUUACACAGAGGGGACGAUCAGGGCAGAAGGAGGAAAGGACAAACGA